rnacentral:rRNA from 1 species
UCUUGUAGAGAUACGAGAGUGCCUUCGGGAACCUACACACAGGUGCUGCACGGCUGUCGUCAGCUCGUGUCGUGAGAUGUUGGGUUAAGUCCCGCAACGAGCGCAACCCUUGUCCUUAGUUACCAUCAUUAAGUUGGGGGACUCUAAGGAGACUGCCGGUGAUAAACCGGAGGAAGGUGGGGACGACGUCAAGUCAUCAUGGCCCUUAUGACCGGGGCUACACACGUACUACAAUGGUCGGUACAGACGGUCGCAAGCUCGCGAGAGUAAGCUAAUCCGAGAAAACCGAUCGUAGUCCGGAUCGCAGUCUGCAACUCGACUGCGUGAAGUCGGAAUCGCUAGUAAUCGCAAAUCAGAAUGUUGCGGUGAAUACGUUCCCGGGCCUU